AGCAGCCGCGGUAAUUCCAGCUCCAAUAGCGUAUAUUAAAGUUGUUGCAGUUAAAAAGCUCGUAGUUGAAUUUCGGGAUCAAUAUAUCGGUCGUGCCUUGGUACGUACUGGUAUCAUUGGUUUCUCCUUUCUGACGAACCAUGAUGUCAUUAAUUUGGUGUUAUGGGAAGUUAGGACUGUUACUUUGAAAAAAUUAGAGUGUUUAAAGCAGGCUUUAGCUUGAAUACAUUAGCAUGGAAUAAUGAAAUAGGACGUUUGAUUCUAUUUUGUUGGUUUCUAGGAUUUGACGUAAUGAUUAAUAGGGAUAGUUGGGGGCAUUAGUAUUCAAUUGUCAGAGGUGAAAUUCUUGGAUUUAUUGAAGACUAACUACUGCGAAAGCAUUUGCCAAGGAUGUUUUCAUUAAUCAAGAACGAAAGUUAGGGAUCGAAGACGAUCAGAUACCGUCGUAGUCUUAACCAUAAACUAUGCCGACUAGGGAUCGGAUGAUGUUAAUUUUUAAUGACUCAUUCGGNGCCUUACGGGAAACUAA
rnacentral:rRNA from 1 species